UGAACGCUAGCGGCAGGGUUAACACAUGCAAGUCGAGGGGCAGGCAUGUCCAGCAAUGGAUGAUGGCGACCGGCGGAAGGGUGCGUAACGCGUGAGCAACAUGCCCUAUACAGGGAGAUACACCAGGGAAACUUGGUCUAAUAUCCCAUAGCAUUCAUUGAAGGCAUCUUUAAUGAAUUAAAGCUUCGGUGGUAUAGGAUUGGCUCGCGUGACAUUAGCCAGAUGGUGAGGUAACGGCUCACCAUAGCAAUGAUGUCUAGGGGUUUUGAGAGGAAGGCCCCCCACACUGGGACUGAGACACGGCCCAGACUCCUACGGGAGGCAGCAGUGAGGAAUAUUGGACAAUGGAUGGAAAUCUGAUCCAGCCAUGCCGCGUGCAGGAAGACGGCCUUAUGGGUUGUAAACUGCUUUUAUACGGGAGCAAUAAGGGUUACGAGUAAUCCGAUGAGAGUACUGUAUGAAUAAGGAUCGGCUAACUCCGUGCCAGCAGCCGCGGUAAUACGGAGGAUCCGAGCGUUAUCCGGAAUUAUUGGGUUUAAAGGGUGCGUAGGCGGCCAUUUAAGUCAGCGGUGAAAUUUUGCAGCUUAACUGUAACAGUGCCGUUGAUACUGUUUGGCUAGGAUUUGGUUGUAGUGUGCGGAAUGUGUGGUGUAGCGGUGAAAUGCUUAGAUAUCACACAGAACACCGAUUGCGAAGGCAGCACACUAAGUCAUUAUUGACGCUGAGGCACGAAAGUGUGGGGAUCAAACAGGAUUAGAUACCCUGGUAGUCCACACUGUAAACGAUGAUAACUCGCUGUCGGCGAUACACAGUCGGGGCCAAGCGAAAGC
rnacentral:rRNA from 1 species